CUACGUGCCAGCAGCCGCGGUAAUACGUAGGGCGCAAGCGUUGUCCGGAAUUAUUGGGCGUAAAGAGCUCGUAGGCGGCUGGUCGCGUCUGUCGUGAAAACUUCCGGCUCAACCGGGGGCUUGCGGUGGGUACGGGCCGGYUAGAGUGCGGUAGGGGUAACUGGAACUCCUGGUGUAGCGGUGGAAUGCGCAGAUAUCAGGAAGAACACCGAUGGCGAAGGCAGGUUACUGGGCCGUUACUGACGCUGAGGAGCGAAAGCGUGGGGAGCGAACAGGAUUAGAUACCCUGGUAGUCCACGCUGUAAACGUUGGGCACUAGGUGUGAGGCUCCUUUCCGGGGGUUUUGCGCCGUAGCUAACGCAUUAAGUGCCCCGCCUGGGGAGUACGGCCGCAAGGCUAAAACUCAAAGGAAUUGACGGGGGCCCGCACAAGCGGCGGAGCAUGCGGAUUAAUUCGAUGCAACGCGAAGAACCUUACCAAGGCUUGACAUGC
rnacentral:rRNA from 1 species